rnacentral:rRNA from 1 species
UGGGGAAUUUUGGACAAUGGGCGAAAGCCUGAUCCAGCAAUGCCGCGUGUGUGAAGAAGGCCUUCGGGUUGUAAAGCACUUUUGUCCGGAAAGAAAUCCUUGGCUCUAAUACAGUCGGGGGAUGACGGUACCGGAAGAAUAAGCACCGGCUAACUACGUGCCAGCAGCCGCGGUAAUACGUAGGGUGCAAGCGUUAAUCGGAAUUACUGGGCGUAAAGCGUGCGCAGGCGGUUUGCUAAGACCGAUGUGAAAUCCCCGGGCUCAACCUGGGAACUGCAUUGGUGACUGGCAGGCUAGAGUAUGGCAGAGGGGGGUAGAAUUCCACGUGUAGCAGUGAAAUGCGUAGAGAUGUGGAGGAAUACCGAUGGCGAAGGCAGCCCCCUGGGCCAAUACUGGCGCUCAUGCACGAAAGCGUGGGGAGCAAACAGGAUUAGAUACCCUGGUAGUCCACGCCCUAAACGAUGUCAACUAGUUGUUGGGGAUUCAUUCCUUAGUAACGUAGCUAACGCGUGAAGUUGACCGCCUGGGGAGUACGGUCGCAAGAUUAAAACUCAAAUGAAUUGACGGGGUCAUAGCUGUUUCCU